rnacentral:tRNA from 1 species
GCGGAUAUAGUUUAACCCAAACAUUAGAUUGUGAUUCUAAAAAUAGAAGCUAGACCCUUCUUAUCCACC